rnacentral:rRNA from 1 species
UACGGAGGGGGCAAGCGUUAUUCGGAAUCAUUGGGCGUAAAGAGUUCGUAGGCGGGAGAUUAAGUCUGGCGUGAAAUUUUUCGGCUCAACCGGAAAAAGCCGCUGGAAACUGAUCUUCUCGAGUCGGGUAGAGGUUGGCGGAAUUCCAGGUGUAGCGGUGGAAUGCGUAGAUAUCUGGAAGAACACCAGUGGCGAAGGCG